rnacentral:rRNA from 1 species
GNGACGCUGGCGGCGUGCCUAAUACAUGCAAGUCGAGCGGAGUUGANGAGAAGCUUGCUUCUCUGAAACUUAGCGGCGGACGGGUGAGUAACACGUAGGCAACCUGCCUGCAAGCCUGGGAUAACUAGCGGGAAACCGCAGCUAAUACCGGAUACGCAGUCGAGAUGCAUAUCUUGACUGGGAAAGGCGGAGCAAUCUGUCGCUUGUAGAUGGGCCUGCGGCGCAUUAGCUAGUUGGUGAGGUAACGGCUCACCAAGGCGACGAUGCGUAGCCGACCUGAGAGGGUGAUCGGCCACACUGGGACUGAGACACGGCCCAGACUCCUACGGGAGGCAGCAGUAGGGAAUCUUCCGCAAUGGACGCAAGUCUGACGGAGCAACGCCGCGUGAGUGAGGAAGGCCUUCGGGUCGUAAAGCUCUGUUGCCAGGGAAGAAUGUCGAGGAGAGUAACUGCUCUUCGAAUGACGGUACCUGAGAAGAAAGCCCCGGCUAACUACGUGCCAGCAGCCGCGGUAAUACGUAGGGGGCAAGCGUUGUCCGGAAUUAUUGGGCGUAAAGCGCGCGCAGGCGGCUUUGUAAGUCUGGUGUUUAAACCCGAAGCUCAACUUCGGGUCGCAUUGGAAACUGCAAGGCUUGAGUGCAGAAGAGGAAAGUGGAAUUCCACGUGUAGCGGUGAAAUGCGUAGAGAUGUGGAGGAAC